rnacentral:misc_RNA from 1 species
AUAGAGAUCGUCGCCCCGGUGAGAGAAAUCUCGCCCGGGGCACAACUCUCCACCCCCUGAUUUGUUAUACCUAGUUGCUUUGGCGGGUCGCGGUCACUCGUGGCCCCGCUGGCUCCGGCUGGCGAGCACCCGCCGAAGAUAAAACCUAAAACUCUUGAAGUAAAUCUUGAAGUCUGAAAUAAAAAUAUAAUAGCCUA